AUAAAAAACCGGUAAUCAACCCCCGCAUUAAUUUUUAAAUUAUUGUUUUGAAUUUUAUUGUAAAAUUCAAAACAUGUAAAAUUAAAAAAAUAGUCUAGCAAUAAGUUUUGUAUUACUAUGGCAUCUGUAUACUGUACAUCGAAGUUAGAGUGAUUUUCAGCAAUAAGAAAAUUGACAAUGAAUGCAAACAUUGGAAGAAACUUUGAGUUUUGGAAACAGCUGUUUAUGAGAAAAGCGUAUGCUGAUGUAACUUUGAAGUUGUGAGAGGGGGCAAGGAAUUUAGACGUUAAAGUACUUACACACACACAAACUAAUUUGGCUUUAGUCAAUAUACUACAAGAAUUAAUAAUAAAAAUAACUUUCAGAUGGUUACCAAUACUUUCUUCCUGCCAUCUUCAAAAUGUCUGAAAAGUUAAUUUACUGUGGAUGAGUGAAAUAAAAACGUUGUUUAAAAAUAAUUUUUACAACUUUAAGUGUUACUUUAUAAAGCAUAAAAUUGGCAGUAAUUUUUGUUUGACAGUUGCUGUUUUCACAAAUUUUUUAAACUCAAUCACUUUUGAUUCAAUUCAAUUUAUUAAAAAGUAAAAAAUAGUUUUAGCCUUCAACGGUUGAAAUUAUUUUUUAAACUUCAAUUCGUUGAAGAAACUGUCAUUGCUCAAGCAUAAAUUGAGAUCACGAUCGACCUGAUAAAAGAUGAUAUUAUUAAUAUAUGUGAUAAUUAAUAAAAGAUAAUUAGUUUUUAAAUGAUCAGAUGAAUGCUGGCCUUUAUUAUAUGGCUGGUUGUGUAUUAUAUUUUGUGCAUAUUUAAUGUAACAAUAUCAGUCUAUUUGUUCCAAAACUAAAAAUUAUGUUUCGCAUAGUAAAUAAGGUUUUCUUACUUUUUUGCAGUUCAAUCGUUUUUGUUAAAUAUUAUUUUGUAAAAUUUAUUGCCUCGCUAAUAUAAUAUGAAUGUGCAGCCAAUAUUUUUUUAAUUCGCAUUUUAUAUUUUUUAUAAAUA